rnacentral:rRNA from 1 species
AGGGUUUGAUCCUGGCUCAGGACGAACGCUGGCGGCGUGCUUAACACAUGCAAGUCGAGCGGGGAUUUGGAAGGAAGUUCUUCGGAAUGGAGAUUCAAAUUCUAGCGGCGGACGGGUGAGUAACGCGUGAACAAUCUGUCCCGGACAGGGGGAUAACACUUGGAAACAGGUGCUAAUACCGCAUAAGACCACGGUUUCGCAUGGAACUGAGGUAAAAGGAGCAAUCCGGUUCGGGGUGAGUUCGCGUCCGAUUAGCUAGUUGGUGAGGUAACGGCCCACCAAGGCGACGAUCGGUAGCCGGCCUGAGAGGGUGAACGGCCACAUUGGAACUGAGAGACGGUCCAA